CUAUGUGUUGUUGGGUAGGGGAGCGUUCUGUAAGCCUGUGAAGGUGUGCUGUGAGGUAUGCUGGAGGUAUCAGAAGUGCGAAUGCUGACAUAAGUAACGAUAAAGCGGGUGAAAAGCCCGCUCGCCGGAAGACCAAGGGUUCCUGUCCAACGUUAAUCGGGGCAGGGUGAGUCGACCCCUAAGGCGAGGCCGAAAGGCGUAGUCGAUGGGAAACAGGUUAAUAUUCCUGUACUUGGUGUUACUGCGAAGGGGGGACGGAGAAGGCUAUGUUGGCCGGGCGACGGUUGUCCCGGUUUAAGCGUGUAGGCUGGUUUUCCAGGCAAAUCCGGAAAAUCAAGGCUGAGGCGUGAUGACGAGGCACUACGGUGCUGAAGCAACAAAUGCCCUGCUUCCAGGAAAAGCCUCUAAGCAUCAGGUAACAUCAAAUCGUACCCCAAACCGACACAGGUGGUCAGGUAGAGAAUACCAAGGCGCUUGAGAGAACUCGGGUGAAGGAACUAGGCAAAAUGGUGCCGUAACUUCGGGAGAAGGCACGCUGAUAUGUAGGUGAAGUCCCUUGCGGAUGGAGCUGAAAUCAGUCGAAGAUACCAGCUGGCUGCAACUGUUUAUUAAAAACACAGCACUGUGCAAACACGAAAGUGGACGUAUACGGUGUGACGCCUGCCCGGUGCCGGAAGGUUAAUUGAUGGGGUUAGCGGUAACGCGAAGCUCUUGAUCGAAGCCCCGGUAAACGGCGGCCGUAACUAUAACGGUCCUAAGGUAGCGAAAUUCCUUGUCGGGUAAGUUCCGACCUGCACGAAUGGCGUAAUGAUGGCCAGGCUGUCUCCACCCGAGACUCAGUGAAAUUGAACUCGCUGUGAAGAUGCAGUGUACCCGCGGCAAGACGGAAAGACCCCGUGAACCUUUACUAUAGCUUGACACUGAACAUUGAGCCUUGAUGUGUAGGAUAGGUGGGAGGCUUUGAAGUGUGGACGCCAGUCUGCAUGGAGCCGACCUUGAAAUACCACCCUUUAAUGUUUGAUGUUCUAACGUUGGCCCCUAAUCGGGGUUGCGGACAGUGUCUGGUGGGUAGUUUGACUGGGGCGGUCUCCUCCUAAAGAGUAACGGAGGAGCACGAAGGUUGGCUAAUCCUGGUCGGACAUCAGGAGGUUAGUGCAAUGGCAUAAGCCAGCUUGACUGCGAGCGUGACGGCGCGAGCAGGUGCGAAAGCAGGUCAUAGUGAUCCGGUGGUUCUGAAUGGAAGGGCCAUCGCUCAACGGAUAAAAGGUACUCCGGGGAUAACAGGCUGAUACCGCCCAAGAGUUCAUAUCGACGGCGGUGUUUGGCACCUCGAUGUCGGCUCAUCACAUCCUGGGGCUGAAGUAGGUCCCAAGGGUAUGGCUGUUCGCCAUUUAAAGUGGUACGCGAGCUGGGUUUAGAACGUCGUGAGACAGUUCGGUCCCUAUCUGCCGUGGGCGCUGGAGAACUGAGGGGGGCUGCUCCUAGUACGAGAGGACCGGAGUGGACGCAUCACUGGUGUUCGGGUUGUCAUGCCAAUGGCACUGCCCGGUAGCUAAAUGCGGAAGAGAUAAGUGCUGAAAGCAUCUAAGCACGAAACUUGCCCCGAGAUGAGUUCUCCCUGACUCCUUGAGAGUCCUGAAGGAACGUUGAAGACGACGACGUUGAUAGGCCGGGUGUGUAAGCGCAGCGAUGCGUUGAGCUAACCGGUACUAAUGAACCGUGAGGCUUAACCUUACAAC
rnacentral:rRNA from 1 species